CCGUUUCGGGUUAGUAAAGCUACUUUCAGGUAGGGAGGAAGGUAGUGUAGUUAACACCUGCACUAUUUGACGUUACCUACAGAAGAAGCACCGGCUAACUCCGUGCCAGCAGCCGCGGUAAUACGGGAGGGGUGCGAGCGUUAAUCGGAAUUACUGGGCGUAAAGCGCAUGCAGGCGGCCUGUUAAGUCAGAUGUGAAAGCCCGGGGCUUAACCUCGGAAUUGCAUUUGAAACUGGCAGGCUAGAGUCUUGUAGAGGGGGGUAGGAAUUUCAGGUGUAGCGGUGAAAUGCGUAGAGAUCUGAAGGAAUACCAGUGGCGAAGGCGGCCCCCUCGGACAAAGACUGACGCUCAGAUGCGAAAGCGUGGGGAGCAAACAGGAUUAGAUACCCUGGUAG
rnacentral:rRNA from 1 species